ACACAAGCCAUGCAUGCCCGCGCACCCGGGAGGCGGCGGACGGCUCAGGACAACGGUUGCACCCCCCGCGGCGGUCCCUGCUAGCCGGACACCGCUGGCAACCCGGCGCCAAGACGUGCGCGCAAGGGCGGGCGCCCGCGGGCGAGCAGCGUGACGCAGCGACGGCCCGCCCGGGCUUCCGGGGCAUCACCCGGUCGGCGCGGUCGCGGCGCGCCGAGGGCCCGACGCCUGGCGGAGAAUCAGGGUUCGACUCCGGAGAGCGGGCCUGAGAGACGGCCCGCACAUCCAAGGACGGCAGCAGGCGCGGAACUUGCCCAAUGCGCGCGCGCGAGGCAGCGACGGGGAGUGCGCGAGCGAGGCGGGCCCACAGCCCCCGCCGCGAGCCG
rnacentral:rRNA from 1 species